UGACUUUCGAAGCAGAAUUUUUUUUUGCAUCAACUGUCAAACCAAACCAAAACAAACGUCGGUGAUUCGUGAACGUGUGAAGAUGGUGAGCAAAAGUUGUUUGAAUUGAAUGCAACGCCAGAAUCUACUCGAUUAUCUCAGUGAUGUCAUUUUCCGGAAGUCAAGCAAACUGGUUCGGUUUCCCUGGCUGCGUCGCCGUCUGUUCCGCCGAGUAAUCGAAGGAAAAUUGGACUCGCCCUUCUAGCAGCUGCAAAAGGUCUUCCUACACCGGAAGUGCCACACGGCGUAACUUCAGGUCUGGCUGAUGACAAGUUCCGCAGGUAUUCUUCUGACCCCUAUGCCAACAAUCAACAGACAAAGUUGCGGGGUGAUGAUCCGGGAGGUCGUCGUGGUCAUUGGGAGAUGAUAGACGACUGACUGGCACCCUCGAGUACACCGCCCAUUCCCAACAGCUUCAAGAAUUAGUCAAAGUGAUCUCCGGCGAUGACGAAAACAGCGAAUUGGGACUCGAUCUGGGAACGGGAGGAAAGUUAAAUGGCCUUCGACAGUCGGGAUGAUCUCAUCAAGCCGGAAGACGCGCUGUUGUGAUGAAAGAAGGAAUCUACCAUGUUUGAACCGCUAAAGAAGGAAGGUGUAGUAACAUUUCUUCCAGCGAGGACAACAUCUUGGCUAAGAAAAGUACUCCGCCGAUGCCACCGAGCAAACCGUACACGGAAGAUAUCAAGGACAAUGGCCGAAUGUUCCUCUCGAGCCUACCCUCCAUCGAUGACGAAGUCGACGACAUUGGAAGAAAAGGUGUGGCACCCUCGUCGACUUCGUCAUCGUUGGAGGGUAGGCUUGAGAGGAACAUCUAGUCGCAGUCCCGCUUCCUUGUACGAAGUGUCACUAGCGCCUUCCUCUCUGGACGGUUCCAGCGGAUUCUUUCUUCAACUCCAUCAUACCGUGUUCCGGCUAGACUUCCACCGCAUGCAUCGACUGUGGCUCGAGCCUCAGGUGGGCCUGGACCUCUGUUAUUCGCUUCCACCAUCGGCAUCGCUGUCAUCUUCCGCGCGGCUGUCAUCAGUCAGGCUCGUCGGGGCCAGUCACCGACGUCAAGUCUACAAAAGUGCACACCAACCUCGUCCGAAGCGCUGGCCUAAAGAG